CAUUACUAGCAGGUGUCUCAGGUGAUGGAAUUAUAGAAAACCUUUUAUUAUGGAAAAUGUUCAGCAUCCAUAGAAAUAGAAUAAAAUAAACCUCUUUGUCCUAAUCACCUAGCACCAACUCUUUGUCAUAAUCCUGCAGUUGUUUAUCCAACUGCUCCCUCCACUUUCUUUCCUUUCUUCUUAGAAUAUUUAGAAGAAAAUCUCGAGAUGUUUCAUCAGAUGCUGAUGGGAUUUUGAGUAAUCAUUAUUUUUGGCUCAUUUGGAUUACCAAGUUUGUAUACUGGGAUUUGUAUUCCUAUUUUUUUGUUUGUUUGUUUCUUUGACUUAAAAUCGCUGCACUUUUAAGGUUCCUAAGCUUUAGACACUUGUGUUUCUUCAUCUAUAAAACAGGGUACCUACAGAACCCCUCUCUGAGCUCAUUUCUGUAAAAUGCUGAGGGCAGGGUCUGCCACCACAUACUUUCAUUAUUUUUUUCAGUGUCGUAUAAUUUUUAAAGUGUGGAUCCUGCCCCUCAAGUCCCUGGGAUCAGGCCUCACCAAGAGGGAGAUUGAGGUUCCUGGAUUCAGGAACUUGUCAGAGCUUGUGUGCCAGGCUUAGACUUAACCGUGACCUGCCCCCCAACCCAGUGACUUCGCACUGCAUGUGACAGGAUCCACAGGACUCGGUGAAGUCCAGCAUGUGACCCAGGUUAGCAGACCCUGGGCAGAAACUCAACCUCUCUGAACCUCAGUUUCUACCUGUGUAAGUCAGGGUUGUAAUGAUACCUCCCAUGUGCAGUGAGCUAAGGCAAAUUAAGGUCCAGUACAGUGCUUAGCAUAUAAUAAGUGCCCAAUAAUUAUUCACUGGUAACUUCUCUCCAGAAUUUGCUUAAAAAUGAGUACAAGGAAGGAAGUAUUGAGUCAUUACCUCCAUGCUCCUGACAGUACCUCCAUGCACAGGACCAAUGAACAACCUCUGGCAAUGACAGGUCACUUGGGUCCAACCCUGCUGUGGGGCCUUAGACUGGUAUGUCAGUCUCUCUGGGGAUAUGGAAAGGGACUGUGUGGGUCAGCUGUGCAAAGAUCUGCAUCCUGGAAUGGUUCAGAGGCAGGGGCUCCAGCUGCCAGGACUCCUGUAGCCCUCCCAGGGAGCCCUCCCUUAAGAGCAGUGGCCUCUGCCAGGCCGGCCGCCAGGAGGGCUUGGCAAGAGGACCAGCAGAUGACAGUCUCACUCCAUGCACAGAUGUAUCUGCCAGUUUCUGAUGGGGAGAAGUGAUCUGGGAGUUGCUCACUUCAUUGAUAAUUAAAUUCAAAUUAAGAAAGAUUUGCAUUUAUCAAAUGCCUGUUUGACAAGGUGUCACUGUUCCCAUCCAGCACCCAGGCACUGGGGAGCCGACAAGGGGAGGUGCAGCCACGUGGGGAUAGAGACAGGAGGUGGAGACAGAGAAGGGGAGAACAGCAAAGACACUGCUGUCAGCCCUUCAUUAUUGCAGGGCCACUGCUCCAGUGGUAACAAAAUGCUGUGUGACCCCAUCGGGCUGCAGAACUAUCUGAGCCUCAGUUUCCUCAUAGCAUCCCCCAGGCUCUCCCUUGGAAGAAGUAGAUGCUACCAUUGGCAUCAACUAAGGUAAAGCAUUCUCAUAUCUGUCACCACCCUGGGCAGCCUGCUCAGGAUUCUCUGUGGACAUUCAUGGUGACCCACUAGAUCCCUACCACUAGAUCCCUGCACACGCAGCAUUCCUGCCCCCCAGGUGUUGUGAUUUGACGGUCACCUCCAGAGAAUCUCAAAGUGUUUAUUUUGUCCCAUUCAGCCAUGGGAGCAGCCUGUCUGGCCAGUUCAGGGGAAGAGGGCAGCUUCAUCUCCUUCCUCAAAGUCAGGACACCUGGUGAGCCUUCCCUGCUCAGCUUCUCCAGGAUCGGGUUGGGAUGGCUCCUGAGGAACUGCCGUCUGUGCCAAGCUCAUUCUGCUCCCUCAUGCUGCCCUUGUGGCACAUCUCCUCCACCCCCACCCCCACCCCCGGAAGCCACUGCACCAAAGUCCCCAAAUCAAGUGCCACCUAACCCAAGACAGGAUCCCACCUGGCCUUCAGGUCUGUCCCUAAUUGUUGCUGGAGCUCUAUCCUAUUUUAGCUUCCUAGCCUUGAUGUUUUCAUUGGGCACAACAGAUAGCUUCACUGUCUGUGGUUUACACAGAUCAGGGGAUAUCAUGGAUGUGGCAUUCCUUCUUGCAAGCUGCAAAGUCUGGCAAGCUGGAGACUGUUUCCAGAGAAAAUAGGGAUCCUGCCUGCCCCAGUGGUCCUGUGUGCUCAGAGGAAGGAGAGCAGAGGGGACUCGAAGGGAGAAUGAGGAGGGUGUGUAAUGGGAGACACCUGACGUAGGGCCAGCUAAGGCAGACCAAUGUCAUUUGUGGUCCAAAUGGUCCAAAAAGGGUCUUCAGUUCAGAAAUGAUGGUGGGCAAACUGAAAGCUCCUGAGUUUGUAAACUAUGGAGCCUCCAGCCUUACAGGAGCUCGGUUGAGCAGUGCAGUUUCUGGCUCUCUGCAAUCCAGCCUCCUUUCAGAACCAGCUGAUUGUGUGGCCCCUUUGGAAGGGUUUUGCAUCACCACAGAGAAGACGCAGCAGAGGAGGUUUCCUAGAUAUAGUGGGUGCACAGUGGGAUUGCUGCGUGCACUGCACUAGGCCCCUCCACUCCUCCACAGCGCUGAGUUUCCCCAGGUAAUUUCAAAUAGUAAGAUCUGAGAAGAACAGUUUAGCUGCCAAGAAUCUGCCCACUGUUUGAAAGGCAGUAGAUCCCUGCCUUCAUCUCUGCUGAAAAAUCAUUCAUACUUACAGAUCCAGAUAUACAAAUCAGAUCUAAGUUCAGAUCUCAACUCUAUCUUGAACUAGCUGUGUAGUCUUGGGUAAAUCACUUGAGCUCUCAGAGCCUCUACUCCCUUGUCUAUAAAAUGGAGAUAUGAAUGGGGUUGGUUGGGAGGAGAAGUGAGGGGAACACAGGGCCUGACCCGCAGUGUAAAUGUCAGUCUUUGCACUUCCUGUAACUUCUCCCUUAGUUUUCUUUCUGCCUGUUUUCCCUCCUCUGCAUCCCUUGCUCUGUUCCUUAAAGGCAUCUUUUUCCUGUGCAGUGAGGUUCAGUGUCAGCCGUGCACAAAAGUAAAGGCAGACAAGAGCUGAACUGGAAACUCAUGUAACAACUUCGCAGGGAAAGGCUGGAGAGGGAUCCUGGGCAAGGGAGCAGAGGCCUCGCAAAGUAGGUUUUGGAAUUUCACUGAGGAUUUCUUCUCUAUGUGAGUUGCAGCACUGGCUGUCAAAUCAAGAAUAACUCUUUUUUUGUAGUGCUGAAGAUCGAACCUAGGGCCUUGCCCACGGAGAACCUUUUUUGGAUACAGAAAUACACAUAUGGAGAGUAAUUUUAUUUUCCUAGCCCCGGCAAAGGCAGGACUUCAGAAGCAGUCAGCUUCUAGCUUCCUGGCCAGAUGUGUCCUCCUCUUUUAUAUUAGUAAGUUUCUUCCAGUAGAUGUUCUGCAUUUAUACAUGAAGCAGGGAAAAAACAGCAGCUAAAUAUAGGCCUGCACCAGCAAGCUGAGGUGGUCUGAAGAUAGGGAAUGAGGAGAGUGGGUUUGGGCUUUUGUGCGUGCUCAGAAUAGGGAGAAUCUGUGAGCCCUUGUCAUACUCUGGUUGAGGCUCAAAAGCAGCAAAGGGACCUAAUGUGACCUCAAAAGCUAUGUGACCUUUGGCAGUUUACGCUGCCUCUCAAAGCCUCACUUUUCCCCUCUGUAAAACCACGUUAUCUCUUUAUAAUGUUCCAGCUUGACUUUUCCAUGGUUCUAUUUUCUGUCAGGGGACAAUGCCUGACAAUGAGCAGGGAGCCUCUGAUGACACCUAAUGGACUUGGUUGGCUGGUCUCAUAUUUUUGUGUCCUCCCAAAAGUUGAGAGGAGACAGUACCUGAAGGAAAUGUUCUUUAUUGACCACUAAGCCUGGAUUUCUUAGGUUCUUAAGAUUAUAAUUUAGAUAAUUUAGUUCUCCAUAUACAUACACACACACUUCUUGGAGAAGUGUCUUGCCUUCUCUUCAUAAAAAGACAUUCUUUUGUGGUUGCUAACUGGGGUGCUCUGGGUGCAGAUAUGUGUGCCUGCCACAUGCUUUUUCAGUGUCUUGAAUAAACCUUUGUCCAAAUCUCAGUUUUCCCGUCUAUAAAAUGAUCACAAUGCUUUCUCCUUAGGCUAAAUGAGGUGACUAUAAAUUGAGCAUUCACAUUCUGACAUUCCCAUGCUAAGCAUCCCAAAUGUUGUCUGCAGUGACCACGAUGACAGCAGUGCUGCUUGGAAAGCCAUUGCUUGGGAACAGGGUGGGGGAUGAGGGGACAAAAUGUAGGGGACAGAUAGGACUUCCUAGCAAGUCCUAUCAUGGAUUCACAAAUUUCCAUCAGAUUUCCAAACGAGAAGGACAGAGCCGAGAUAAGCCACAUGCAAAGUACAGCCCCACCAUCCAAAAUAAAAGGGAUGUAUUUAUAUACAUGUACGUGCACAUCUUGGUAUCUCAGAAACCAGGCAGAAUAUUGUAAAGCAAUGUACAAUGGCAUAAAAUAUUGUCCCAAUUUAAUCCAUCUAUCUAGUGUUCCAUCUAAUUACUAUAUUAGAAAAGUCUUCAGACCAUGUAUUGAACAUUAUAAAUGGGAAUAAAAUGAUUCUGGUAAUGGCUUAAUAAAACAGGUGAGGUAGCUCCGUCUGUCUGCCUGUAUCCUUGGACCAUGGCCAGAUUGAUUUGUCAGGGAAGGAAAAAAAAGAAGAAAUGGGCUUGUGUUGUUGCACUUUGGAGAUUGUCUCCAUUAGGGGCCUUUGAUUUUAUUCUUGUUUUUCGUUAUGAGAAGUGGUUAUCGGUUCCUUUUGUUAACAGCAAAAUAUGUAGAACUGAUGGAAAAACUGACAGCAGCCAUUUCAUAUUUUAUAAAGCCAUUCCCGGCUUAUAAUUUGCUGGUUGGGAUGAAUUGAGGAACCCUGAAACUCCUGGCGAAUUUGCAGCUGAUGACUGCAGUCUUGUCGGAGGGCGUGUAUAACCGCUGGGAUUUUGCUGCUCUGAGGAACUGCAGCUCGGGGAGGUAAAAAUAAGCCCCAGGGCAAGAAAUCAUAUAUCAUUCAUUUGAGGCUGGAGUUGUCCAAUCAGAAGAGAUCUGAGCUCUUUGUGUACCAAAUCACCUUUUCUCCUUGUGCCUAGAAAACUGCUUGCUUUUGGGGGAAUUGCUGAGGUUUUCUGUACAGAUCAAACAAUGACUUCCCCUUCUUGCCUCUCUUCAAAUGCUCAGUGUCUUUGUCUUCUACCCUGAGCCUUCUGUCUCCAUUUCUUAAAAGCUGCCAUUGUUACUGAGACUAGACAGGUCCCCAGCCUGAAUUUGCUUCUGGCUUGGAGGCUGGCAUUCAGUGACCAGAGAUGGGAAGGCGGCCCGCAACCCAUUGGUAUAUAACCUUCCCUGCUUCUGAGCGCCUGCACCUUCAUGGAGGUGCAUGCCCCCUUCCUCAUCAAGUGCUUUGCGUGUUUCCAGCCCCAAACUCUAAUUUCUUCCUUGGACCAGACUAAUAAGUGGGUGUUGGAGGUUAAAUUCCAGCACAUUAAGGAGGUACUCACCUCUCCCAGAGCCAUGGUAUUCACACAAGGCGUCAUCCAUGUUGUCAUGGCUACGAGGGCCCCGGACCCCAGAGACUGGAGCACAGAAUUAAUGGCAGUCCCGAGUAAAGGAUUCCUGUCUUAGCGAGGUUGAUGGAUUACAUUGAUGUACCAUUUGUCAUACUGUAAUUGUUCUGGCAAAUGUAAUACCCACUAGUAUAAACAUUGUACUGCUUUGCUAAUAAAACCCAAAAUAGGAAGAGAAAGGAUGAUACAGUGUUAUGCUCACUUAAAGAGACAAUGCCUCCUUUCCAAGUUGGCACUCACUCCUUUUUCUAGAAGUCUCACAUGAGUGAUGCCUUCUCCAUUGAUGUGUAUGCAUGUGCUAAACAGCUGUCUGCCACCUGCCCUCCCAGCACACUUGGUGUGGGCCACUUGGGCUGAGCAUACAAGUAUGGAGUGGUGGGGGGACAUUUGAGGUACUCGGUUUCCUUCUCCAUCAGCACUUCUGGUAAUUUCUCUCCUUGGGUUUAGUUUUUGCCCAAAACCUCUGAGCCUCUAUUAGUGCCUUCAAGAUUCUCCUCUGGAGUCCAUAUAUCCAAAUUAGCUUUGUACCUAAAUCUCUUCUGAUAGGCUGCUACCCCCAAGAACCCAUCCCUGACCAGCAGGCCCUUCUCUGAGCUUUGACCUCCUGAAAGGCCAACACCAGCUUCUAAAUAUCUCUAACUUGUCCCUCUCUUCCCCCUGCAACCAGUGAUGCUCAGAACAUUGUGUGGAUCACAGGCAGUGCUUAGUAAAUGUUCAGUGACUGACUCAGCGGCUCCCCACUGGCCACAAAAGGCUUAACCUGCAGCCUCGUGGGUCCAUGUCAGGAUUUCAAGAUCCCGGAUGCCCAUCCGCCUCCUCCAGAGCUAUCAGAAAUACCUCCUUCUCUCUGCUUGUUCUGAGCUUCUGUUUUGUUCCUGCCUGGCCUUCAUCAACACUCUUCUUACUAAGGAGACUGCCUUUGCCCUGUGCCUUAACUAGUUAACUCCCAACACAGACAUCACCUCUCACAGAAAGGCUCACACUACGGGAGGGAGCCUCUGAGGUAUUUAGCAACCCGGGCUUCCCUCAGCCAAGCAGCACUCACAUAGGUGGCACAGCAUCCUUUGCCAAGGUGCCUUUAGCCACAUGCCACCCGGAGCCCCACCCAGCUUGAGUUUCCUGUGUGCGGAGGAGAGCAGUGUGUAACUGAAUGCUUUUCACCACCUCCACUCUCCAUGAGUUGGGCUCAGCCAGGAUCCCCCUCCCAGGUAACAGUUGAGUAGAAUUGAGGACCUGUCUGCAGACUGUUCCAAUGGUGAUGGCCUGGGAAUAGGAAAAGUGAGCCAUGACAAAGCUCUUGAUCUUGUCACUGGGUUGGGCUAUGAGUUAGUUGAGUCGGAGCCUCACUGUCUCCCCAGGUUGUCUUUACUUGUCCCACCUUCCUGCCCCUAGAAUAAACAAGGCAGAGUCUUAUCUGGAAAUUUGGGGAAGAAUGAUGAUAUGGCUGAGGCCCCUGGAGGCAGUUUGGCUAACCCUAACCCUAAUCUCCUCAAUUUGAACCCUUCGAGCCUGGAGCCAUCUGCAUUUACCUAUUUGACCCCUGCUCUGAUUGCCUCCCCUCAGGCUCUGGGCUCCAGCUCAGAAGGGGCUACACAGGAUCCAUGAUCCAGUAUAAUGUUGUCCAGAAUCACUGGCUCCCACAUUUUAACAUACUAGUCCCUUUUACUCUGUGCAGAACCCUCUACUUCAAGGACCCAGCUGGGACCCUGGUGCUCUCUGAGGUUCUGCUUCUGUAGGGAGUUGAAUUGGGUGGCAAGCAACCACAAGCCUGGGGAAUAGCAUCUUAAACUCACAUGGGUACAGUUAUUAUUUUUUUAAAUAACUGUCUACUUAGAGCAAUUUUAGGCUCACAGAAAAAUGGAGAAGAAAGUGAAGUUCCAUGUAUACUGUUGCAGGAUGUACACAGUCUCUGUGUCUUGGUUAAUUUUCUCUCGUUGCUGAGACAAAAAUACCUGGCACUCAAAAUUAAAGAGGGUUAAGGUUUAUUUAGCUCACGUUUUGUGGGGGUUUCAUGCCAUAAUCAGGUGGCUGCAAGGCAGGGUGGUGUGGCAGCAGGGCAACCAUUCAUGGCAUAGAAAACAGCAAAAACACCAAGAGCAAAAGGGGAGGAGGAGUGCAGAGAGAAGAUUCUUUCUGUCUCUUAUAUUGUAUGUAGGCCACACCCACCCUAGUGUGGGUGUAACACUUACACUCGCAAUCCCAGCAUUGGACCAUGAAUUAAUCAGAAAUUCUAGAAGCCUGCCUCCAUGACUACAGGAGGCUUUCUGGGGACAUCCAGACACAAACCAUAACAACUCACCAUGUUCAGUGUGCACUAGGGGAUGACUUUUGGUAUAGCUGAUAAACCUGCAGUCACAGGUCAUUAUCCCCAAGUCCAUAGUUUACACUAGGGUUCACUCUUGGGGUUGCACAGUCUUUGGGUCUGGACAGAUGUUAAGUGAUGACAUGUUCAACCUGUAGUGUCAUACAGGAUGCUCUUGCUGUCCUAAAAAUCUCCUGUGCUCUACCUGUUCUCUCUCUGUCUCUCUUCCUCCCUUCCCCUCCCAUCCCCUCUAUCUCUUCCCCUCCCCACUCUGGCUCUCUCCCUCCUCCCAGACCCCUGUAAUCACUGAAUGCUUUACCAUCUCCAUAGCUUUUUUCCUUUCUCAGAACAUCUUACUGUUGGUGUCUUAGUCUGUUUUUGUUGCCAGAACAAAAUAUGAGACCAGGCAGUUUAUAAGGAAUUGGAGGUAGGGGAGACCAAGAGCAUGGUGCUGAUGCCUAUGAAGGCCUUCUUGCUGCAUCAGAGCACAGCAGAAGGUAUUAUCAGGCAAGACAGAGCAGGUGUUUGCUCUUGGGUCUCUCUUCUUAUGAAGCCACUAAUGCUAUCAUGGGGGCCCCACCUCAUCUAACUCUUAUUUACUUCCCAAAGAACUCAUCUCCAAAUACCAUUGCCAUAUGAAUUCAGGGUCAAGUUUCCAACACCUGAACUUUGGAGUAGUACGUUUAGGCCAUGUAGUUGGAAUCAUAGUGUUUAGCCUUCUUGGUCUCCCUUUUAAAAUGUAUCAGUGGGCAAAGAGUUUCCUCCUCAGUGGCUAGUGAUGGCUUACUAACUCAUUUCUUCUAGUGUGGAAUAGUAUUCUAUGGCUCUAAUGUAUCACCAUGUAUUUAUCCUCUGAGCUCCUGAAGAACACUGUGGUUGUCAGUGUUUUUCUAAUGUGGCAGAGUAAGAGGGAGACUACCUCUGUCUUUCCAUUUCCCCUCUUGGCUUUUUCAGCUUUGUAGCUCCUAAUAGCAGUUCAUUCUCCAGGGCUCAUGGUGUCUGCAGGCCAGGAAGCAGUGAGACAGGAAAGCCAAAGGGGCAGAAGGGAAAGGCUUUCUUGGGAUGAGGAUUUUAUCUCUCACUUCAGGAAGGGAAGCUGCCUAGGGAACAUGACUUCAUUGUCCAGAACUAGCCACUCAUAGCUGCAAUGCAGCUGUUAGAAGAUCCGGCUCUCUGGGGCUGGGGCUUUAGCUCAGCGGCAUAAGCACCUGUCUUGCAAGCACACGGUCAUGAGUUUGAUCCCCGGUACCGACAAAAAAAGAUCAGGCUCUGGUUUGAAUCCCAAAGUCCUAUGUGAAAACCUUAAAAUGUAUUGAAAUCUUUGGCAUCUCAGAGUGGGCCUGUAUUGGGAGUAGGGUCUUUAAAGGAGUAAUAAAGUUAAAAUGAGGCCAGUAGGGUGGGGCCUUAUCCAGUAUGACUGGUGUCCUAGUAAUCUGAGGAGAUCAGAACACAGACAUGCACAGAGGGAGGGCCAUAUGAGGACAGAGCAGAUGUAAGUGUUCUGAAGAUAGACGGUGGUGAUAGCUUAGUGACUUAAUGCCACAGUUUCUGACAUUUAAAAAUGGUUAAAAUGGUAAAUUUUACAUUGUGUUCAUUUUACCCUAAUAAAAAAAAUGCUACCUUUAUUACUGUUGCUGCUGUUCUUCUAGUAACAAUGCUGUUGCUGCUACUGAGUUUUUACUAUAUACAGCUACAUUGUAUUCUUGACAUAAAUUGUCUGACCUAGUCCUCCUGCUGAUUCUAAGAAGUAGAUCCUAUGAAUAAGUAUGGAAAAACAUACCUACAGUGCUUAGCACUAACUGGGGCUCAGAAAGGUUAAAUCAUUUGUCCAAUCAUGUGUCCACUCAGCUUGCAGCUCAUCUGGGCCUUAAACACGAAUGCGUGGGUCCCAGACCUGUUCAGACCUUAGUUAAAGCAAGAUUUUUAGCCUUGACACUGGAUAGUCCUUGGUGGUUGGGGGUUAUAUCUCGUGUAGGGUGUUUAACAACAUCCUUAGGCUUUCCCCGCCUGAUGCCAGUACCAUGUCCCAACCUCAAAGCGAAAUGAUCCAAAGUAUCUUUAGAUCUUGCCAAAUGUCCUUUGGGAGACAAAAUGUCCAAACCUUGCCAGAUGUCCAUUGGAGGGCAAAAUCAGCUUGGUUGAGAAUCAGUGGUUUACCAGGGGCCCACUGGCAACAUGGAGGACGUUGAACAAUAAUGGAUAUUGUGACUUUUAAAGUCAUAUCAAUCCAUGGAGAUCUGCUGGGUAUUACGUGGGGGGGGGGGCACAAUUGCUUUCUUUUGUCUUUUGGAAGGAUGUUUUCCAACUCCCUGCACCCUCUUCCUCUUAAAACAUUAGGACAUGUGGAACAUCCAUUUUUGGCAUAAGACUGGGCAUACCACCCCCAGAGCUUAAACAGUGCUCAUUUGCAAGAUGGUUUAUAUUAGCAAGAAACAGCCCCAUACAGGGCUGGGGAAAUGUGGGGCCUGCAUGCAGUGAUAUUGUAACCUUUCAAGAAAAGAAGUCUAGGAUGCUUUGUUGGGUGAAUAAAGCAAGUAGUAGAACAUGACCUCAUUUUUAUGAGGAAUUCUUGCUAUAUGUGUACAUGGUAGCAGACACAAAGAGAGAAGCCCAGAAGGGUUCCCCAGGGUGUUAAGGUGGUUUCAUUCACUGCUGCACCCUCAGGGCCCUGGCACACAGUAGGUGCUUAAUUAUUAUCUCUUCAUAACCAAAUGUGAAGUGGCAAGGCAGGGCUGUCAGCUUUUUUCUUUGCAUUUUCCAUCAUUUGAAUUUUUUAUAACGAGCAUAUAUUAACUUUGUGGCUUUAAAAAACCUUCCUCCAAAAAAAGGAAAUUAAAAAAAAGAAGAAUCACGCCUUGAACUUGCCUGGCUCUUCCUUCUGCAGAGCUCGACAGGCACGUGCCUGUCUUGCCAAAGCCAUGCAGAGAAAUGAGGCUGGUGUUUUAUGGUCCUUGUUCACUCAUGCAUUGCUAACACUGGGCUCCUGAAGAAAGCUACUGCUUUUUUCAUUUCUCUCACUGUGGUUUUCCCUUGGGCUUUUGCAGAGGAGCAAAAAUCAACACAGGAGGCAUGGACAGGAAAGGCAGAAAGGGAACCGGCCAGGGUCCUGUAGUCUGCCCCGGGGGGCAGGCAGAAGGUUGACUUCUGUGGCCUCCUCCUUCUGAGGCCUUGAGAUGUUUCCAAAGCUGCACAAGUGCUGAGGGAGGCUUGGAGAUGAGUGGAGGUGAGGGCUGAAGAAAAGGAAUUAGCACCUUUUGGGAAGCAGAUUUCUAGAUCUCAAGGAUGACUGUUUUGGGUUCUUUCUGGGGACAGUUUUUUGGUUUUGUUUGGGGUUUUUGUUUUGUUUUGUUGGUAGCAAUGUGAGGAAAGAGAAGAAUCCCCUGCCCAGUCUUAGGAUUUCUAAAUAUUCCAAAGGCCUUUGAGUUUGUACAACUGCAUCUCAAAUGUUUUUAAAAGUUUAUAACUGACCUGAUUCAUAGAAAAAGAUAAACACCCUUCCCAUGUUUGGAGUCAUAUGUAAUUUUUAUCUCUUGACCUUUAAAUGUAAGCAGCAGUAAAAUGAAGAACUAUUGCAGUCAUUUAACACUCCGGCUGUACUAACUGGUUCCUGCCUGAGAACCGUGGUUUUAAAUUGGCUAAUGCAGAAUACUUGCAGAGCUAAUAAUAAUUCAGAUUAUUCCUGUCAGCUAUUCCGGUUUCAUGGGUAAUUUAGUAGUUGAAUAAAUUUUUAAAAAAAUUCAUUCGUUACCAUGCGCUGUUAUGAAUCAGUAGAUGGUUUACCAUUGGCAGCAGUAACUGUAAGAAGAUUUAAAUUGCUACUGAAAAGGAUUUGAGUGAAGGUAAUGUUUUAUAAUGUUCUAAGCCAUAUGCACUACUUUCAGGCCUCAUCAGUUUUACAUUGAUUCCUAGUGAAGUGUUUAAUUGCAUCAUGAAUGCAAUAUAAUUCAGUUCUUUCUGCUAAUAUGGUAUAUAUCUCAAAGUGAUAUACGGCACUGACAGGAAGAAUUCACAGUUCCGUCUGGAUUUGGGAGGGCAGCGACAAUUGGGGGCCUACUGGAUGCAUGGAGGGCAGACGCCCCAGAGGAGGGCUGCAGCCAGGCUCCAUCUUACUGAGACGAGGGGAAUGUCACAGGCAUGUGUGGGGAGCAGUGGGCAGUGUCUGUCACUGCUCCCAAUGCUGCUGGCCAGCGAGAAGAGGGGUCUGGUGUAUUGGCCUCCUGUAGGAGACAGGGAGAUCCCUCAGCUGGUGCAAGGCUUCACAAGGCUGGCCAGGCCCAUUGCACGCUGAUGGGAUUGGCUUCCAGAAUCUCACUGGCUGUUUCUAAGUGAUGACUGAAGACUGGGCUUCUGUUGCCAUUUGUUUAAUCAUCCAGUGAGUAUUCCUUGAGCACCUACUAUGUUCUAAGGCAAGUGAUGGCCAGGAAUGCCUUUGCGGGAGAUUGGCUUCAAUCAUAUGUGAGCUCGGUUUUGGUGGAGGUCUCAAGGGCUCUGUAGCAAAGAUCUACAAAAGGAACUCAAACCCCUUGCCUCUGCAGUACCAUGGGCAGUGACCAGACACGGAGACCUUGACUCCUUGGGCAGACAGCAGGGCAUGUCCCCAGAAGGGCACAGCUGCCUCACAACUCUAUCUGUGUCUCCAUAGGCUUGGAGUUGUCGGAAUUGUCAGUUUCUCAUGAGAAGCUAGGCAUCCGGAUUUGUAUGCAAAAAUCACCCAUUUUAAAGGAAAAUGAAAGUAUAUACACCAUACAGGCCAAACUAAAUACAGUAUGUCUGUGGGCACAGCGUACCCAGGGGCCACCUGUUUACAGUGUCUGUUCAUGGGCAUGACUCUGCUGUUCAAGUAAAAAACAUUUGCUUUCCACCGACAAAAUGUAUACCAUUAGAGGCAGUGGAACUCUUGACAGGCGGGGACGGCAUUCUGCGGAUGUCCGACGCAGUGGUGGGGGAUUGCCGGGCGAAGGAGGCAGCUUCUUUCCAUCUGGUGGUCAUGGAUUUGGGAACAAGUCGCCCUGGAUGGGGCAGACGUGCCUAGUUACUGCAUCCUAGAAAUGUAAAGGAGGCAUCUUCUCAGAACAGAACUAAUGAGAAGAAGGACAUUGUAGCCUGCAGCUUCCAACAUGGAAUUCAAGGCAGGGUGACCUGAAGAUGGUAGGGAGGGGCAGGAUGGAUAGAGCUGGAGCAGACUUUCCCUUUAUGCUUUUUCUUCUCUGAAUCUCAGCAGGCAGCCCAAGGCCCAGAGAAGUCCUGUAGGCAAAGCCUCUGGCUUCCCUCCUCUCAGGGAGAAGAAUGUAGCCUUCUGAAAUGCAGGGAAAGCAAGACUCAUGCUGGCUAGCUUUCACUCACACUCAUGUCUCUGUUUAUUUAGAAAUACUGAGGAACCAGGCAUGUUAUGGAGGAGACUGUGGUGACCAGGACAGAUAGGCCUGCCCUCCAGAGCACAGAUAGACAGACCCCAUGCAAAUGUAUAAUGAAAAACACAAAUCACCUUAGAUAUGACUGACCUUAGCCCAGCAGCAUCUACUUGGCCAUAGGUUGGCUUCAGCUUUAUAAAAAGUGUGUCUCAGUAUAUUUGUUGGUCAGAGCUGCAAUGACAAAAUGCUGCUGUCGGGCCGACUUAAACAGAAAUUUGUCUUCUCGUGAUUCUGGAGAUGAGAAGUUCAAACUUGAGGUGGUUCCUUCUCAGGCCUUUCUUUGGUUUGUGAACAACCUUCAUGACCUGAAGACAUCCACCUUCUGUGCCUCUGUGUCCAAAAUGUCUCCUUUUCAUAAAGACACCAGCCGUGUUCAAUUAGACCCAGCUCAGUGACCUCAUGUGAACUUUAUUUCCUCUGUACAGACCCUGUCUCCGAAUCAGGCCACAUUUUGAGGAACUUGCAUGUAGGUUUUGGGGAGAAUGUCACGGUUCACCUUAUGAAACUGCACGUGCAGCACAGUAUGGGUGUGACUGCAGCAGGGUUAGAGGGGACUUUCAACGAAGGGAACAGGAGAACAGUGCCACGUGCACUCUGCUUGGAGGACCGUCUCCGCCAGCCCCCAUGAGUGAUGCUGGUCACGUCCAUCCCUCUGGAGUGAGACCUUCGAAGCAGAGCUUAUGCAUUUUCAGCCAUCUGAUCCUGUGUAGCCACAAAGCAGCAGCCUGGGCCCUGGGGCUCCGCCCUCAGCCUGGCGCCGAGAUGUAAUCAGAGCCUUCUUUUUAUCCCCACUCUUGAGAAAGGCCAGCCAGGCCACCUUUUUGAUCAUCGUAACCUUGACGCAGAAGAAUAAUUUAUCCAUGCCCCCAGAUGAGGAAAUUGCAAAAUUUUAUUUAUGAAGCCAAGCCACCACAUCAUAAUUCUGUUUCUGUGUUGCUGAAUACAGCUUGCCAAGAUGUGGAGGUGUGGGUGAUGUUUGAUAAUAAAACGGGACAUCAUACCCAGAGAUGAAGGUGUGGGGGAAGCAGGAAGUUGGGUCCCUCAGGAGAGAUCCUAGAGAAUGUAUCAUUCUGGAAGUUGACCUAACUGUUCUUCCAUGGACUCCCAGGUCAGAAGUAAGAGGAUAAAAGUCUCCAUGAAAAUUCAGGGAAGCUGAUGUGAGGGGGAUUUUGAACAUGAAUUCAGGAUGGGAAAAGAUGUAUAGCCCCACCUUUGAGGCCGUGGCCUUGGUUCUGGGAGCUUGGAAGAACCUGUAGCAUGGUGGUGAUGAGCUCUGGCUUUGUAGUCAGCUGGCUUUGGGUUUGGGCCCCAGUUCUGUCACUUGCUUUGUGGCAUUUAGCAAGUCAGAUUUGUAAACCUCAGCUUGUUCAUCUGUACAGUAAAAAUAAGAACACACCUACCCCAAGGGUUAUCUUAAGGUUAAUGUGAAGUAGUGCAAAUAUAACGAAAUUGUCUGACCAGUGGACACUACUUCCUAUUUGGUAGCAAUUAAAUGACAAGGCAACUCUGGAGCCACACAACCUGGCUUUGCAUCCCUGUUCUCACUGGCUGUGUGAACUUGGAUGAGGCAUCUCAUCUCUGUGAACCCCUCCGUUUUCCUGAUCUGUCAAGUGGGUUCAGAAAUGAUUUCCAUUUCCUAGAGUGGGGUUGCAGGUGGAAUGAAUGACUGGCAGGAAUUAGAACAGUGACUGCCCCGGGGUCAGUAAGUGUUACUGCUUACAUUACUUCCUAGGUUACAAUCCUUAUGAGUCUUGCUUCUGAGAAGCUGUUCCUAACUUUGACUCUGAUUUAGAAGCAGCCUGUCUCCCAUCUGCUGACGAUGUUAACGACAUGCUUAGUUUAAAAAUCCAAAUGGCUUUGCAUUCCUCAUGAUUUGAAACAUUCUUCUGAGGAUUCAUAAGUUCCUCCUGAGGUGACAAGGAUAUGUGUCCUCAGGGGAGCUGCCCCCCAGUCUGUCUGCUGCAGAGAGAGGGGUGGACUCUGACACAUUUGAACAUCCGGGGGCUGAACCUGAAAUACCACCACCCAUUCUCAGGCCCCAGCCAGAAAGUUCAGCCCAGCAAAUGUUUUGCAGCCUCUCAGCACUUUGCAGUUCUACCAAAUUAGUGUUUGGUAUUGAAUUAGUAUUCAUUUUCUCUAAUAUGAUAUAAAAGUAUAAUCACAUUAGUGACUUUUAUAGCACAUUAGAUUAUACAUUUGGAACACGUCCCCGCCUGAAACAGCUUUAAAAAAAAGAACAGCCAACAACAAUAACAAGCGAACCAUUCUCCAUCCCAGCUCACAAGUCCUAGCUUUUCAUCUGGGCUGCAGCAACCUGGAUAGAAAAUGCUCUCCUUGCCUCCUAGUCCCCACAGAGAAAGAAUUUUCAUUCCACUGCCCUGAUUUGUGAAGCAGUGAAUUUAAGACCUUAAUAGUCGUUCCAAAUGAAUGUUUCUUUAAUCCCGGGGCAGAAACGUAGGCUGUGCUUGAGAUGUAAUUAAUAGCACUAAUUAUUCUUCUCUUGUUCCCUCUCCUUCUUCUGCCCUCACCCCUUUACCCCAAGACACCUAGCAGGAACCCCGGGAAUGUUCAUCUUUGGCUUUCAGGUGCCCCUGGCCAAGGAAAUCAGCGAGCUCCUAGCCCACCCUAUCCUAGAAUUCCUGUUCCAAAACAUGUUUCUCUACUUCUCAAUUAUUCUUCUGGUUUGGGAUUUCUGGGCUUUCCAGGUUAGAUUUUCUAGAACCUGUUCCUAGCUGACUAGGUGACUCGACCAUUGUGAAGGGGAUGACAUUCCAGUAGCAGAGGCCUAGAACCUGGCUUUCCCAAGCAUCCUUCCCUGCCAGGUCACCCUCACUGAGGCACUGGUCCAAAGACAGGAAGAGCUCCUCAGAAAGAAGCUCCAACACCCCCCUCCCCCGCAGACACCCAAAGCUGAGGACCUAUCUGUAGCUAUGUAGAGAUCAGAGUUCAACCUCCACAAACUGUUCCCCACUACAAAGAGUACUGGACUACAAUGUGGUCCACAUAUAAUGAAAAAGUAAGCCUGGGAAAGGAGCUACGAUGAUGUAUUUGUACGUCUCCUCAUUGCCAAACCAUCAGAGCUAGGCAGAACCUCCUAAGGUUAGGGCAGGCCUUGAUAGCAGACUGCUUUUUACAUGCCAACUCUGAGAAUUUAGAAUUAGCUUUCUGCAUGGAGAAGAUUCUUGAAAGUUUCUGGAUCUACAAAAGAGUGUCUCAAACAAUCUUCAAACAUGCUUGAGCACCUGCUGUACAUCAAAUUCUGCUGUCAGCACCAGGGACACAGCUUUUAACCAGGGCCUAGGAUCCUCCUGUAUAGAAAUUCCAACUCCCGUGGACCGGGUCUCAUGAGACUGAAGCACAAGAUAGAGCUGGCAUCUCUAAAUGUGCUAAAUACAAUGGGAAGCCAGUCUUAUGUUUAGAGGAUUAAAGGCUUCUGUCAAGUCAACAGACAAACACUCUGGGUUGUAUAUGGAAAGUUGAUGGGAAAGAGGCCAAAUUAGAAGGUCAGGUUGGGGAUUUAGCUUAGUGGCAUAAGCACCUGCUUUGCAAAUGUGUGGUCGUGAGUUCAAUCCCCGGUACCAAUAAAAAAGAAAAAGACAAAAAAAAAAGUGCACCAGGAUGGGCUCCUACAAGCAGCAAAAAAAAAAAAAAAAAAAAAAAAAAGAUCAGGUUGAAGGUGUCUGUGCAAACAUUGAUGGAGGAUGAGGGGUAGAUACAAACUGACUCAUCAAAAGGUCUAGAUGGUGUGGGAAAUCCAUUAUUAAUGUCUACCACAGGUGUAGCUAUGUCUGCCAACUGCAUGCUUAUGUAUUUUCUAUCUCUGCCUUAAAAGUCAUUUCAUAGUUGAUGGAGGGAGCUGAGGAAGAUGAAGAGUCAUUCAUGGAUAGUAAUUUGUGGCUUUAGCAACAGCAACAGGAUAUUCUGAGAGGUGCAUUUGAAAGGGGGUAUUUCCCAGCUUUUGAUGGGGGCAUUAAGCAGAGAGACAGGCCAGCACACGGGGAUGAGAUGCUACACUGUGUCAAGUUGAGAUUGAUGGAAUCAGACAGACACGUAGGACCCUCAGAAGAUGGAGAAAGUUGACCAAAUCCCUAGAGAGUCCCAGCAUACUUCAUAAAGACACAAGCAGGAAGGCUCAAGGAAAAGAGGCAAGGAAGACAACUGUCAGUACGCGUGAAAAAAGUUUUCAAUUGUAUCAUUGGAAACAAAGGGUCUGGGACAAUCUCAUCCCCUACUUCUCCCCACCUUGCAAACCACAGGACCCAGCCAGUGGUAAAUGACCCGUCAGAAGUGGAUUUGGUUUGUGUUGCUAUUGUUUUCUGUGAGCUCCUGUCUUCUCUGUGAAGACCAGCCAUAGUCAGACACUUGGAGACAGGGAGGGCAGUGGAAAGUCAGUGGGGGGCUGGAGGAGAAGCCUGGCUUUGAAAACUGGCAUUUCUCGGGAGGCUGAGGCAGGGGGAUUGAUGCAAGUUCAAGACCAACCUGGGCUACAGAGUAAGCCGAAGGCCAGCUCGAACUGCAUAGCAAGACUCUGUCACAGAAAAAAAGGAAAAAAACUGAGGAUGUGAGAAAUCUAAAGAGCCAGGAGUCGUAGCACACCAUUUUUAAAGAAAUACUUUAGGAUAGGGGAAACUUCAUAAGAUUGUGGUACUGAAUAAGGCCAUACAUGUAAUCUCUUUCUAUUAAAAUAGACUGAGGACAGUUUUUGUGAUUUUGGCCCAGUUAACUCAGCUUCCAAUCCUGGGGGAAGGAGGCCAUCUAAAAAAACUGUCAAACUGCAAACCAGUCUCUACCCUUGCACUCUCGGCCAUCAUAGCCAGCAUCCUGCCUUAGGGUGUGACAUUUAGCCCUGGACAACAAUAUUCCUCCAUUGACACACAGGCUGGCCAUGGAUACAGAGGAGUUCAGGGCCUUGGGAAAGACCUCAAGCUUGGCCAGCUCAAACCUCCAGUGUGGGCACCCCCACACUCAAGCCUGGGCAGCUGUGGGAUGCCCUAACCAUGCCCAGGAAGGUGUUGACAGACCCUACUGGGAACCCAAGCCAGCAGCUCCUACCAGGAUUGUAGAAACACUUCCCAAGGGUUCUGAUGCUAGGGCAGAUUGGAGAACAUCUGGGGUAGGCCAUUUAAUGUGCAUUUCUCUAAGAUAUAUUCUUCUAUGAGCAGGAAACAUGUGAUUUUACAAAUUGUGAUUGAAGAUUAAUUCAGAUGAACUUCUAGCCACCUCCUGGCUGUGAACUUGUAGAUGUCCUUGACUUACUAUUGUUUAACUUGUGGAUCUUUGACUUUAUGCUAGCAGUGGUAUGAAAAUGAUACACAUUCAAUACUUCAGAGCUUGAAUUUGAACCUUUUCCCAGGCUGACUAGAUAACGAGGUCCAAUCCUCUCUCACAACUCUGGCAGUGGCAGAGAACACAGCUCUCUGGCAAUCCCACUAACUUGAGGGAAGCAGCCAGCAUUUCUAGGGUGCUAGGUUGUUAAGCCAGGAUGUUCAGAGGGUCAGGUGUAUUAAAUGCAUUUUCCAUAUCUGAUAUUUUCAGCUUACGUCGGGCUUGUCAGGACAUGUCCCCAUUGUAAGGCAAAGAGCAGCUGUGUUUCUUAACCUGUUUUUUUGCAGAGCAUUUUGACCCACAGAGAAGUAUAAAUGUGCAGAGCCACUACUCCCACCCCCAUUACAAUACUGAGUGAAUCUUUACAUCCACUCAAAAUGUUAAAAAAAAAAAAAAAAAACACGUAAAAACACAUCACCAGGGCUGGGGAUUUAGCUCAGCGGCAUAAGCACCUGCCUUGCAAGCAGGCAGUCAUGAGUUCGAUCCCUGGUACCGAUAAAAACGAAAAAGGCAAAAAAAACCCACAUCACCAAGAACAAUGGAAUAAGCAUGUUCAAAGUGAGGGAAAAUACUUUGAGGGGGAUUAAUGGUGAUGCGUCUUUUAGUGUAAUACAUUUUAAAAUUUAAAGUCACCAUAUUUUUAUCAUAUGUCAUUAAUGUUUAUGGCAAUUUCUGUCAAAUAAAAAUGUGACAGUACAACGUCAUCCAUCUUACCCACUAGAUCUGGCACUAUGUGACUUUUGGCUCUACCCCAAAAUUAAAAUGACAGUGAAAGAUAACUGUUUUGAGUUGACUCAAGACAUGAAGCAGCCAGGAUAGCACAACUAACGACACACAAAAGAGACUUCCAGAACUGCUUCAGAACCUGGCCAGAAUGAUGGGACAAGUGUGUUUGAAGUGAAAGCAUGCAGUCUGCCUUUCACUGUAGUAUUUUUUUAAUUAAACAUCCAUCAUAUUUUUUUUUUGUCUUUUUCCUUUUUAUUGGUACCAGGGAUCGAACUCAGGACUGCCUACUUGCAAGGCAGGCGCUUAUGCCGCUGAGCUAAAUCCCUAGCCCCUCAUCAUAUUUUUUUAUAACCAUUCAUUCCCAGGCCUUUUUUUUUUUUUUUUUAUUUCAAGGAAGGAUCUCACUGGGUCACUGAGUUGCCCUGGCUGGAGUCAAACUUGUGAUCCUCCUGCUUCAGCCUCCCAGAGUACUAGGAUCACAGGCAUGCACUACAGUGCUUAGCUGCAACUCCUUUUUAAACAGAAAAGGGACUAAGGAUGAUUCCUCCUUACCUUUAGGACUGAUUGAGAAGAAUACCUAUGCUCUCAGCAUCGAUAGUCUCACUGGAGGCAGAACAGAUGCUAAGCAUGUAAGCAAAGUAGGAUAGGAGAAAUGCGAGUUUACAGUGGAAAUAAGCAUCGUGCUGGGGUCCACCAGCAGGGAGGGGCUACUGAAUAGACCCCAAAGGGGGAGGAGUUGGGAUAGUGGUAGGAGUGUCUUGGGUGUGUAAGGAUGUGCUGGUGUCUGCUUAUGUAGGUGUGGGUGUGUGUAGGUAGGUGGGUGUGUUGGGUAGUGUAGGGUGUGUGUGUGUGUGCACAUGUGCAUGGUGUGUGUCACAAGUUUCAUCUGGGCCUCACCCAGUGUUACUGGACCUCAGAGGGGUUGGGAGAUGUGGGCAGAGCCAGGAUGGCACGCAGCUCUCAGGCUCCCUUGGCCACAAGGGGGCCCAGGCUGUUGUUCCAGUGGCCAGGCACAGAUGGAGAUGUGCACAGAGUGACAAGAUGCAGUGGCAUUUUCAGAGAUCUCCCUGGAACAGCAUCAUGGAGGGCAGGCCAGUGGCCUGGAGGAGGUUGGCAGAGUGGGGCUUGGCCUUGGCCUUGGAAGUGGAGCUGAUGGGCUCACGGGUGGGUGAUGUAAUGUGGUGGGACAGAGUGAAUGAAAAUGGGCCCGGGGGCUUGGCCCCGGGGCUGAGCAGCUGGUGGUUGCAGUGCCCCCACCCUGAGAUGGGGGAAGAUGCUGGGAGAAAUGGCGGGAGCCGGAGCAUGGCAGUUCACAGUUGCCGCUUGGCCCUGGGAAAUCUGAGAUGCAUGUGGCGCUAAGUGCUGUGGGCUGGAUGUGAGACCCAAGCUCCGCCACAAAUGGAACAAGCAGCUUGUCCCUUGCUCAGAGCCCCAGGCCAGAGCACAGUCCUUGGAAGGGUACUUAAGCACAGCCACUUCAUCUGUCUCCCUGCAGCUAUCUCAUCACGAACUCAUGGGCAUACCCCACUAAAAGGAACCCUCUCUGGGAAUCCAGCCCAUUCAAAAUGAGCUCACGCCACAGCAGAGAACCAUGUGGCACUGGGACAUUUGCGAGCACCGGGGUCCAGAACACUGGGUCACCUUACCAGGUGAGAGGUAGGACUGAGUUCCCAAGCUGGUUCCUGUUACCCUUAUGCCAGAAAAUAAGGAUACAUUUUGUCACUGAGUAAUGUCCCCCAUACCUUAAUGAAUACUGCUCAGUUCACCCUCACAACAAACCCCAGAACGGAGGCUAUAAUCAUUUUCAUUGUAUAGAUGAGGAAACUGAGGCGCAGCAAAGUAGUAGCUACACAGCCAUGUGGUAUAGACAGGGUUUAAAACCAAGCCAGUUGAACUGCAUACAGAAUGCCAAGCAGUGGCCAAAUGUCCUUUCUUAAAAGUCAAAACACCUCUGGGGGGGGGGGGCUGCCAUCACACCCAUUAUACAGAAAGGGAAACUGAGGCCAAAGAGAAGAAAUGCUUUGCUUUAAAUCAUUCAAAGCUGGUAAAUAGCACCAUUUAGUACUCAAACCUGGGCCUGGGGGAAAUUCUACAUUGUCUCCCAGACAUGUGACCUGCCCCUGCCUCUCUUCCUGGCAGUACAAGUCUCCAUCCCCCAGCCCAGCCCCAAGCAUUUCAGUGACUGUCAGGGCAGGUGGUGGGCUUGAUCCUUAAGGCUGCACAAACAACUACCACAGAAGGCUACACUAAGAGACAGGAAACAGCAGAGGCUGAUGGGCUCCUUGGAACUGUGGCCGGGCCUGUCAAGACCCCGUGUUGGGAGGUGUCAUCCCUAGAGCCUGUGUGUGCAGCUGCAGGCAUGUGAGGGAUGGCGCUCACGUUGGUGGCCGGGCCCCACCACACUGUGCACUGUGCCCUGUGCACUUGCACAGUGUCUUGCUGCUCACUGAGACUCUUCAGCGGGACAGCACUGAGCAGCUCGCUACAGAGAGAAUGCUGUGGGAUUUCCUGCUGGCUUCAACAAAACUCGUGUGUGUGUGUGUGUGUGUGUGUGUGUGUGUGUCUGUCUGUCUGUCUGUCUAUCUUGGACCAUACUGAAAAAUGAUACCCUGAUUUAGACCCCUACCUCUGAAGCUUCCAGAUGACCUGUGCUUGAUUAGCAGAGCUACUCAGAGCAUGGGAUUUGAGGUCACACUGUGGAAAUCAAAUCCCAGCUCUUCUGCUUACUGGCUGUGUGACCUUGAGCUUGCCUGCUGUUAACUUCAUGCAUUUCGUUUCCCGAUCUUACAGGGUUGCUAUAAGAAGUACAAAUCUGGCAGAUAGUACAUGCUUACUGUAUGCUGUUAAUUGUUAUCGGUGUUAUUUCUGUCUAAACAGAUCUUUCUGGAAAUGACCAGAUAGUAAAUAUUUUCUGCUUUAUGAGUCCUGUGGUCUCUGUCAUGUCUAUUCUCUUCCAUUGUGACAGGGAGCAACCAUGGAUAGGAUAGUAUGUCAGUGAAUGCGCAUGAUUUUGUUCCAGUCAGACUUCCCUCUUAGUUGUAUCUGAACACAACAGAGAAAAAUCCCCUUAGCUCAGCAAGCGUGUGACCCUAAGACUGCCAGAUGUCAUUUGUCCUAAGUUAGGGGGUGAAGUCAGACAUGAUGGGACAGAAAGAUAGUUCAGAUGGAAGCUGUCACUUGCCCACGUGUAUCUAACUGACUCCCUCCUCUGCCAGCCAGGGGUUGAGGUCAUGUACUCUACCCAGGAUCAUCUCUUUUAGUCCCAACAGAGAACCACAUGCUACACUUUGUUUUCCUAUAGACAUUUCUCUUUCUCUUUCCAGGUUUUAUACCCUUGAGCCAGGUAUUCUUGGCUUAAUUCUGUGAACCUUAUUCAUCUUAUCUGUAAAUGGGUUAAUCAUUAGACUUACUGCAUCCGGUCAGUUAAAAGGACUAAGUGGGUUAAUAUUUAUAAAGGGCUUGGAAUGGUCCCUGGUGUGUAAGCAGCACUAUAGAUGUAUGCUAUUGUUAUUGUUACCCGGAGACUGAGCUCACAGGUUCUCUCAAGUUUUCCUGCUAAACUCAGGAACACCAGCUCCCUGUAGCUGGCUGGGGCUGGGUCUCUCCACAUCCCCACUAUCAAUCCAGGACUGGUAUUGGCUGGGUACUUAGUGAUUGCUUAGUUAAAGUUCAGAGAAGCAAAAGGCAGUAACAGAAAGUGAACGUGAGGAAGGCAUGGAGAUCGGAGCAGCCUCCAAGGUGCUGUGGUUCUGAGACACGCUAACAUUGUGAGCAUGUUAGGGAUCCUAUGAGCAGUUUGGGAAUUUAGGCUCUCACUACUUAAUUUGGCUCACUGUAGACCCAUAGCAGGGAUGUCACCUAAAUAGUCAUUAGCUGUGCAGGUCGCACCUGGCCUCCUAGAACAGGAUCUGCACUUCAACAAGAUCCACAGGUAAUUGACACUAACGUCUGAGCCAUUUGUAAUGAGAGAGGACAGCUCAGGGAAGUAACACCUGAGAGGGAGAAUCAAACCUUGCUAAUAUUUUUGUAGCAUUGGAUCCAUCCAUGCCUGAAGCUACCCUUGCAUUGUGGUUAUAUAAGCAAAAGUUGCCUUGUUCUGAUUAACUACUUUGUAGAUGCUGCCAACAGGACCUGUGUGUCAUAGGAGCUCUUGGUAGGGGUGAUGUGGGACCAUCAGCUGUUUCACUAAGAAAAUAUUUGGUGACUGGAUGGAUAGAUGGGACGAGAUGCACUCUUCUGCCACUUGGGAAAGGAACAGCAGGAAGGUCAUGGGACCCACACAAGCUGGACAUCAGGAAGGUCUGCAGAGCCAGACCAGAGUGACCUUGAUGGGACAGUGGUCUCUACAUAGUAGUAAAGAACAGUGAGUAUGGGAGAUGCAAGGGUUAAGGCAGCCAGGCUAAUGGGUGUGUUGGGGCCCAGUGCAAAGACAUGAACAUUGAAGUCAACACUGGUCACUUGAUCCUGAUGCCACUCACUGCCACUUGCUUGUUGUAUGACCCUGGCCAAGGGAACAGAUGUCUCUGAGCCUCAUAGUUCUUAUCUAUAAAAUGGGCAUUAAAGCAGCACUGGCUUCAUUGGGACAAGGGGAGGGCCGGGAAUACACCAGUGUGCAGGCUCCAUGUGUGGUGACAUCACAAUGUGGACUUAAAGUCUGACCAAAACGGUACCAUGGAAGUGAUACACAUCGGAACUAUCCUGUCCACUCCCUGUCAAAAACUGGUUGUUAAACAUUUACCAGCGUGUUACUGGUUAAACAAAGUGUAUUUAAAUUGUCAUGCCCAGGGGCUGGGGACACAGCUCAUCAGCACAAUGCCUGCAUGGCAAGCACAAGAGCCUGAGUUCAAUUUCUGGUACCCCAAAAUAAAUAAAUAGCUGUGCCCAGUGCUGGGACCUGGGGUGGUUCCCAAUUACUAUUAUGUUAGGUACAUUGCUGUAACAUGAUAGAAAAUGUUUUUCAUGGUCAGGCUCUACAUGUGCUCAUUUUGUGACAGCUACUUUAGCUAUUCAGAUGCCUUUUCUAUUGCCCCUGUGGUUCCUAGCCCAUUCUUGGAUACCUGAGAUGACUGUUCCCUGAGAUCUGCACUGAGAAAGUAUUAUAGAUGGUAAUAUCUGAAGUUAACAUUUAUUGAACAUGAACUAAAUGCCAGGUACUGAAAAGCACUUUUUGUACAUAUUCUUAUUUGAUUUCCCAGUACUCUGUGAGCUAGAAGUGGUUACCUGAAUCUCCUUGUGUGGAGGUGACUGGAGCCCAGAGAAGUUAAUGACUUGGCCCAGGUCACAGCUGCUUGUUGGGUUGGCCAGGCUUUGAGCCCUUGCACUUUGACCCCAGCACCUGAUGAGGUCAAAAGUGGAGGGAGCAGGGUCCUUAGGGUGUGGACCUCCUCCUUACCAGCAGGCCUGAGGGACAAUGGGCAGGGCUAAGAAGCCUGGCAGCGGUAUCUGCCUGGUGGAAGACAUCGGUCCAGUUUUCUGGCACUUGUGUAGCCGCAUUCUGACGGGCAAAUGGAUGUCUCUGUUGGAAGGGAAUCUUGGCCCCUUGCCUGUUGGCAGCCGGCUCUUGGCUGCCACGUGGAGCGCUGUUUGGAGGCAGUAGGAAUUAUCCGGCAGCCUUGCAAGGAGAGCUUGGAGUGGAGCAUGGUGCAGCAGGGUCCCAGGAUGGCAUUUAUUAUCGACUGCGCCGGAACAGUCUUUGCAGAGCUCCAGCAGCUGCAGAGAGAAGAAUGCAAAAGUCUCCUUAAAUUACCUGAUUGAAAUAACCGGCGGAAUAUUCCGCGGGGCCACUGAGUGCCAGGGAAGCUGCCUAUGGGGUGGUCUGUCAGAGGCGGUUUGCACAUUCUGAAGAACACAGGAGUUUCAUUGCAGCAAAACAGAUGUUCAUCUUGUUUCUCCAUCGGCUGUUUGAUGAGAAAUUUAUUGCUCUUCCGCUGGGCAGGAGGCCCCUCUCGGCUGUGGAGUCUAUUAGACAAGCCAGCAGCUGGCGGGAAGCCAAGGUGAGGCUGUUUUGAUGAAACCCAUGAAAAGCUUUGGCUUCAAGGCGCCGGUAAUAAUGCACUGGCUAGACUCUCCUGAUUGGGCGAUUGAUUGGCCUGAUUUGAUUUAUUGAUCAAUACCCUCAAAUUUGGCGUCUGAGAAGCUGCACUAAUCUUUAACUGUUGUGAACAUCUCUGCCUGCUGGAGAAUGAGCCCCUGAUAAGGAAUGUAUGAAAGGAAUCGGGGCUUAUCUUAAUCACACACCGGGCCCCGGCACUGCCCGAGCCGGCGAGGGCCUCCGCGUACCGGCCUCAUCGCCGGGCAGGCCUGCGCAGAUCUAUAAAUUGAUGGAAUUCAAAGCCUCCAGCAUCGAUUACCGUUAUAACAAACAGUGGUGCACAGAAUGUCUGAUUAUUUUUAGACAAAGAUUCUGUUCUCUCAGCAGCAAUUUUGCUGAGGCUGUCACUGACUCAGAUGUCUACUGUUGAUUGCAAUUAGAUGCAAUACAAAAAAAAAUUAAACUCUC